ACACUCUGUGUUUGAUUCCAGGCUUUGAGACAGCAAUGAAAUAAGCCUGCAGACUUGUGUCAAAAAGCAUUUCAGGGGGAACACUUCUGCCUCGCGUACCUGCAGGAGUCCCAGCAGAUGCCUUGAUAUGGCAUUCAGCUUUCUCCUUUUCCCAGUCCCCCUCCUAAACGUGUAUGCAAUGGAGUAUAAACUACCGAGUUUGGGCCAGAAGUUGCCAGAGCUGUGGGGAGGAGGAAAAGCAAGUGCUUGAAGCAGACAUUCUCUGAGUGGGACAUUUCUCAAGAUGGGAUGGCCAAUAGCCUUUGUGCCAGUGGCAGCUCAGUGCUUUCUCCUCCGACAGCACCGAGCAGCAGGAAGAUCUGCUCCAUGGCUCCUGUCUACCUUGAGGCACUGAGGGAGCAUCUGUAAACUAGUCCAGAUUUGUUUGUAAAGUUUCAUUCACAGCUCCCCUUUGGCCAAGGAAAGACCGAAGGCAAAUCCACUUUGGUGCCAGAACAAAGGGAUUUGGAGGAGCCUGGAUUCCCAGCAGCACAAAACUUCAGCACCACCAGGAGAUGACACAGCAGCUCAUAGAUGACUUUCACUAUCUGAUCAGACAACUUCUUAAUCAGCAGAGACAGUGCUCACUGUCAGAAAAAUGUCACAUGAGUCAGCUUUCAUCUGCAGGGAACAGGUUCUGCUCCUGCACAACUAAUGGGAGUCCAGUUGUUCUCCAUAUUCAUUGUCUCAUGCUGCACUGUCUGCCGUUCCCAGGCUCUCCUGGCCCUCGUGGCCACAGAGGUUCGGCACACAAACAAGGUUACAGCAGUGAAAAUCAAAGCCAGCAAGAGCAAAACUGCCCUUACAACUACACUGGGUUGUGGUUAUAAGCCCCUGAACUGGCUCUUUAAAUAAUUCAGGAAUAGAUUUGAAAAAUACAACCCCUCAUUUAAAAGGAAGGAGUUUCUCAAGUAACAGAUUCAAUGUUGGAAGAGUAAUAGAUGCCUAUAAUUUCCAUAAUAAACAUCCUCUCUUUAAAAGUAGGAGUAGAAACUGUCACCGUAGUUAAACAUAAAAUUAAGACAUGAUUUCUCAACUCCUCACGAGCUUUGUGUUUUGCUGAAGUAGUUUAUGAACCACGUUUGCCUUUAAUAAAGUCCAUGUAUUUGCAUAUCAUGAC
rnacentral:lncRNA from 7 species